AGCAGCAGCCACGGUAAUACGUAGGUGGCGAGCGUUGUCCGGAAUUAUUGGGCGUAAAGGGAGCGCAGGCGGACAUAUAAGUCCAUCUUAAAAGUGCGGGGCUCAACCCCGUGAGGGGAUGGAAACUGUAUGCCUUGAGUGCAGGAGAGGAAAGCGGAAUUCCCAGUGUAGCGGUGAAAUGCGUAGAUAUCGGGAGGAACACCAGUGGCGAAGGCGGCUUUCUGGACUGUAACUGACGCUGAGGCUCGAAAGCCAGGGGAGCGAACGGGAUUAGAUACCCGAGUAGUCCCUGUCUCUUAUACA
rnacentral:rRNA from 1 species